GCGCCCUCUGAUCCAAAUUCCCCAAACCUAAUCCUCCCACGCACUCCCUCCGCCGCCGGUGCACCCAAAUUCCCCAAACCUUAUCCUCUCACGUGCUGCCUCCACCGCCGGCCAAUAGCUAUCUACCAGCCCGCACGCCGUCACCGCGGCAGCGAGGUUGCGGCCCUAUCCCCAUCAUCCUCCUCCACCCCCACAGCUAGCCCCAAACACUUCUAAGUUCUAACCCUAGCUUGUGCCCGGUCACCUUCAUCCGCUAAGGCCUGGUGGUGGACGCCAUCGUUCAUCUCAGAUCCAGGGGUGAGAGAGACGUGGGUCACCUGGGAGACAGAGCACUCACACCCUCGCUCGUCACCCAGGCGCCGGACCGCCACCGCCACGCCAUGGGCCUCCUCCGAUCUGCAGUCGCCGGUUCGUUUGAAGGAGGAUCUGGACGUUGACUGCUGAUGCUUCCCCUCCCCGGGGAAGAUCCACGAUGACUUGUGGUAGUACUUCUACCCAGAAAUCAGCGCCUCGGCCGGGAGCUUGAGCUCGAGCAGAAUGUUAAGAACAGGGGCUCUAUCUGCUAAUGGGGUAGCCCGAAAUGCAGUCUAAGACCUGGCUACUGCUCGUUUGAUUUCUAGACAUGAGAGGAUAAGAACUUGAGAGGAAUAAGCUUGGUGCUAUGAUUGCAAAAAAAUACCUAUACUACAGGUGAGAGUUGAGACACGCCAUACACAGGCCCUGCAAGCGGGCAGAAAUAGACCUCUUCGUCAAUGACUUCUACAAGGAUGAUAUUGACCUAGAGGCUGGAGCUUUGCUACUCUUUCUGGCCAACAACAAGAUGUGAAGUGAAGAACAAGGGAUCGAACAGAUGUGAAAUUGAUGAAGUGAUUCUGUGAGGAACUUACCAGGUUUUCUCCAUGUUCAGGUGCAAAGGGGCCUCAAGUGCAAAGUUCAGGUUCAGUGCACUUAUUACGCUGUCACGUUUUUUACUGAAUCUUUUUUGGUUUGCAGACGCUUUUGGUCUUGUGAUGUAAAUUCACACAACAUUCAUUUUUUCCUAUUCUUAUUCAUGUUACUCUAUAAAUGUUAGAUAUCUAGGAAUGUUGCUUAUCCAAUUUUUCUGUUUAGAUGACAAUUGAGGCACUUUCUUCACUCUGUUCUAAAAGGUAUGCCCAAGUUAAUCUGUUGUAACUAAAAACUAGAAUAUGUAUAUGGACCCGACUUUUGUUAUUGGAGGUGAGAAUAUAUUUGUGUUGGGAAUUCCCUCUUAAAUAUUUUCAGAUUCAGAUUUGAUGUUGAGCUAGCUAAUCAGUAUUAGAAUCCCUAUUUUUAAUGUAGCUUUUUUAGCCAAUUAAGUAUAUGCCACUUCAAGAGGCAGAUUGUCGGCCUACAUUAUUUGCUAGAGAUUUUAUUUCUGCCACUAAUACCUCAUUUUCUAAUUCAUGUUUGGUGAAAUCUUAAGUUAAAUCUCUGUAGUACCUUGGUUUAUAGCAUCAGGAAUUAGUUAAGCCAUGGACACAUGACAUGGUUUUGUAGUCAUCUUCCUCAUUUUCUUUCUGCCCCUUCCUUUCAAUUAUGGCAACUGGUACUGCAUACAUAUGCCUCGUUCCUGUUGUAGCUGCUCCUCUUACCUAGUUCCCCAUAUGACACUUUCUGUAGUUCGCAUCAUAUUUGAAUUGUUACAUGUUCUGAUUGCAUGACUUAGGUGAUCUUUUUUCCAGUUUUGGUAUGGAUAGCCAAGCCCUUCUAUUAUUUCUAGAAACUAGUGUGUAAGCAGUCAACACUAUUUAUAUGUAAAUGUUUUAAGAUAUAAUAUCAUUUCUUGCAGCAUGUGGUUCAUUGAACAAGAAAAGGGACUGCUUCACAUAUGGAAUGUUUGCAAAUUUUAAAAAAAGAUCAAAGGAAAUUCAGUUUCUGAUAGUGUAUUAUAAUUGGGACUUGUUUAACUUUUGUAGGAAGCAAACAGAAGGACUGCACUCACAAGGGACCAUGAAGCCAGUGAUCCACGUCAACUGGAUACUUUAGCUUCCAUUUUGUACAACUAAGUCUUACUUUAGAACCUUUUGUGAACAUUAUGUAUGAUGUCUUGGUGGCUAUGUUUAGAACAAUUUGGGCCCUCUUUGAUUUGAAGGAUUUUCAAAACGUUGGAAUAGGAAAAAUACAGGAUUUGAGUGGCAUGUCCACUUGAAUCCUAUAGGAUUAGCCUAGAGUGUUUGAUGCUACAUGAAAAACAAAGGAAUUAAAAAAAGAGGUUGGAGUGGAUGCUAGAUUUCCAAUGAAAUGUAGUACACUUGAUUCCAUAGGAAAAAAUCCUAUAGGAUUCAAUCUUGUGAAUCAAACUACAAAUGUAGGAAAAAAUCCUAAGGAUUCUAACCCUCCAGAAGUCCCAUGGAAUUCCUUUGAAUCAAAGGAGCCCUUGAAGUAUAUGUAUCUGACAAUUUUUUAAUUAAUGGAAUAAUAAAUGUUUGAU
rnacentral:rRNA from 1 species